GUGACCAUAGCUCAAUUGGCAGAGCAUCUGGUUGUGGCCCAGAAGGCUGCGGGUUCGAGUCCCGCUGGUCACCCCU
rnacentral:tRNA from 1 species